GCAGGAAAGAUGCCAAUCGUUCAAAGAUGCUUCUGUUGUACCGUGUGUGCUUCCCCUGCAAGAGUGGUUUCUCACAUUUUUCUCAUCUGCCGUAGCUGCUUGUGUCUUUUGGAGCCGAGUAAGCCGGAUUGUGAUGGUUGGAGAGUGGCUUCCCUAACAGACGAAAUUAAGAGAGCUACCGGGACUCCCUGCACUCGAACCAUUACGAUUCGAACCAAGAUAUCUGCACAAGUGGAUCAGACUCCGUUGCACCCAAGCCAACCCUCCGUUCUUUGGAUAUAAUUCUCCACACGUUUCCAUAAUGCAAACAAACAAUUGAGAAAUACGUACAUGCACACGUACAAUGCCGGGGUCCCAGCCAGCCUCUGUUAUUCCAGAGAAUUCCAGAGAAGGGGAAGACAGUGAUCCCGGAGGAAGCGGAGUUGUGUGUUUGAAUGCCAUGGUGUUUGACAUAUCAGGGGUUGCGUGGUUGUGGAAAGUCUUAACAAACAGGCAUAAAUAAAGCCCAUGAGGAUCUGUGAGGUCA